CGCCGGAUGCGGCGACUUCUCAGUGGCUGUGGCUGGCGUUGGUCCGAAGCGUGGUGUUCUUCCCUGGUGUCUUUCUGCUUAUCUCUUUCCUCCCUGGGCCCUCCGGCGCGAGGGACCGUCAUCACCUCCCCGAGAGAGAAUGGCACCAUUGUUGUGCGGAUGCUGAUGCCCAGCGUUGAGCCUGUCGUCUCCUAUAUUAGGGGAAGUUCUCCUGGCCCUUCCCAACUACCUCCCCUGUGCAAGUUUAUUACAACUGAACGGCCUCAAGGAUGAAGUCUGGCUCUGUUGCCCAAGCUGGAGUGUGUUGGCACCAUCUUGGUUCACUGCAACUUCCACCUCCCAGGCUCCAGUGAUUCUCCUGCCUCAGCCUCAAGGGUAGCUGAGAUUACAGGCUGGAGUGCAGUGGCAUGAUCUCACCUCACUGAGAACCUCCACCUCCAGGGUUCAAGUGAUUCUGCUACCUCAACCUCCCAAAUAGCUGGGACUACAGGGUCUCAUUCUGUCACCCAGGUUGGAGUGCAGUGGCAACAUCAUAGCUCACUGCAGCCUUGAACCCCUGGGCUCAAGUGAUCCUCCUGCUUCAGCCUCCUGAGUAGCUGGGGCUACAGGCACUUUCCCUACAUUUUCAAAGGCCUGCAUCAUCACAUCUGCCACAGCAUUCUCUAUCAUUGAGGCAUUUUCUCAGGAAAUCACCUGUGAAAUAUUUUGCAGCUAACCACCUACCUGUGCCCCACCAGCCAACAUGCUUUACUCCUGCCAGGCAGGUUCUCUGUAGCCCUCUGGAUUCUGUCUGCCUCUGUUAUAUCUUCACGAACAAGUUAUGCAGCCUCAACUAAAGCUUGUAACAAAGCAAAGUUACUCUCCUGAGUGUGUCCUCUGAUGGAUGGUGAGAUAUAACUUCAAGAUGAAGCCUCACCCACACUCCCUGUACAAAAACGCUUCUCACCUGUGUCACUCUGGAAGCUUUGAUCAGAAAAUUGUAGUUGCUGUUGCCUCUGAUGUGCAAGUCCAAGAUUCUUGGGCCGCAGGACAUGUUCUGCAUAUAUUCCUGGAGAAUAGACCAACAAUGAGACUGAAUCAGUAACGAAAAGUCUUCUAUGAAAGAAAAACCCAGAACCAUAUUGCUUUACUGCUUAAUUCUAAUAAACUCAUAAAGAACAACAAA
rnacentral:lncRNA from 1 species